CAGCCCUGUAGUGUGGACACGUUGGACUGCAAAUCCAAAAACGCCCAAAUUCUUUGUGCCGGGGCU
rnacentral:tRNA from 1 species